ACCCAUCAAUACCAUGACUUAAUACUAUUUGUUAAAGUUAAGUUAAAUGAUGUAAAAUAUUAAUCACCAUCAUUUUGAUUUCAUAUUUUAUUUAUUGCUAAUGGAUUUACAACAAUUUUACAGUAUAAUUACUUGUGUAUUGUGAGAAGCCAUUACGACUAGCCUUCAUUUUUAAAAUUGGAAUGGAUCGGAUCUUGCUAGUUGCUAGAUGGAAUUUGGGAAAGAAGGUUACUAGCGGACUGCUACCGGAAUAAAAAUAAGACCAAUGGCUAACUUACAUGUGAGGUGCUGUGUCCUCAUGGGCUAAUUUUGAGUGGCCUAACACCGAAGCUCUUAAUAACUUAACUCCAUCAAAGUAGCAAGAUUGGUAGCCUAAUGGAACUAUGGACUUAUUUUGGCUGGGAAAUUAUGUCGUCACGGUUGAGCUCAAGCAACCAUAAGUUCCUCGCUUUUCUGUCUUGC